rnacentral:tRNA from 1 species
AAGGUUUUAAGUUAAUUAAACUAAUAGCCUUCAAAGCUAUCAAUAUAAGACAUCUCUUUUAAGCCUUA